GAAAAAUUGAAUACCCAAAAAGGGCAAUGACAAGAAGGUAUUAAGAGGAGAGAAAAAACUGAUACAAUUACUCUAGGAAAGAACAUUUGAUGUUUCUUCUGAACUCUGCAAAAUCACUUCACCCUUACCAUCAUCAUCACAACCUAACACCAUAUGCUAAUCCCAACAUUCUAGAUACUAAAAACACGAAAAAUGAUUGAAACGGAAGUUUGAAUGGGAAGAGAAGAGGAAUAAUAGAGAUUCAUCAUACAGUCAUAGGAGUUGGUUGCAUUAAAAUAACUUGAAGAGAAGACCACCGUGCGUGGCAAAGAAGGGAGCAAACACGAGGGACUCGACAGCCAUCAGCUUGAUAAGAAUGUUCAAUGAUGGUCCAGAUGUGUCCUUGAGAGGGUCACCAACAGUGUCACCAAUUACAGCAGCUUUGUGUGCAUCAGAUCCCUUGGGGCCAAGAGUCCUAGCAUGUUCUGAGGCUCCAGCCUCGAUGUACUUCUUAGCGUUGUCCCAGGCACCACCAGUGUUGGAUGCAGAA
rnacentral:misc_RNA from 1 species